rnacentral:rRNA from 1 species
GAUGAACGCUGGCGGCGUGCCUAAUACAUGCAAGUCGAGCGAACGGACGAGAAGCUUUCUCCUCUGAUGUUAGCGGCGGACGGGUGAGUAACACGUGGAUGACCUACCUAUAAGACUGGGAUAACUUCGGGAAACCGGAGCUAAUACCGGAUAAUAUUUUGAACCUCAUGGUUCAAAAGUGAAAGACGGUCUUUCUGUCACUUAUAGAUGGAUCCGCGCUGCAUUAGCUAGUUGGUAAGGUAACGGCUUACCAAGGCAACGAUGCAUAGCCGACCUGAGAGGGUGAUCGGCCACACUGGAACUGAGACACGGUCCACACUCCUACGGGAGGCAGCAGUAGGGACUCUUCCGCAAUGCGCGAAAGCCUGACGGAGCAACGCCGCGUGAGUGAUGAAGGUCUUCGGAUCGUAAAACUCUGUUAUUAGGGAAGAACAUAUGUGUAAGUAACUGUGCACAUCUUGACGGUACCUAAUCAGAAAGCCACGGCUAACUACGUG